UUGAAGGCUGAAAUUCGCCUUCAUGAAGCCGGAAUUGCUAGUAAUGGCAGGUCAGCAUACUGCCGUGAAUACGUUCCCGGGCCUUGUACACACCGCCCGUCACACCAUGAGAGUUGGGAAUACCCGAAGCCUGUGAGCUAACGAAAGAGGCAGCAGUCGAAGGUAGAAUCAAUGAUUGGGGUGAAGUCGUAACAAGGUAAC
rnacentral:rRNA from 1 species